GUGCGACGAGACAGGGACGACAUUGUGCGGAGUGCUGCUUAAAGGGUUAGUGAGAAGACUGAAAAAGUUGAUAAAACUUCAGAAAAUACCAGUUAACCGUUAUAAUAUUAGCUGUAUGCUGAGACGUAUGAAGAGCUUGUGGAGUACAUGUAGAGAGAAAAGUGAAUUAGCACAGUCACUAGCUCCAGCUCUAGUAGCCCCAUGCUAAUAGCCGUUAGCUCCAACAGCGGUGGACCCUUCGGUAUCCGUGACCUUCCCGCACACUCUUCGCCUGUAUCACUCCGACUCUGACGCUGUGAGCUAACUGAGCGCCGCCAUUUCAUGUGAAGGCGCCCAGCCCGAUAAGAGAGAUCGGUCAGGUUUUUUUGUUUCUUUGUUUUAUUUGGUUUAUACCUUUGGAUCUUUGACGCUGAUGGCGAGCCUUCCCAACAGGACCUAGAUACUGCCGUGGUCACUGAAUGCAUCCUGUUUCUACUGCACUCGGUGGUGUGCACCACAUAGAGCAUGUACUGGCUGAACGUGCUUGCUGCUGCUGCCCAUAUUUGAGCUGUGUAAAGCACCACAACAAUAAAAGGAUCAAUUAAAGGAUGUGGAGGGCCCCCCCAUAGCUAAAUCCACCCCUGAAUGUAAGUAGAGCAGUGAUUGUGUACUGUGAACUGUGUUUGAAUUGAAUCUCAUCAGAAAGAAACUGUGAAUUGAAGGUUUAUUACUGUGUAUUUGGUUUAAAGGGUGAACCAAUUUCAGUUUGAAUUUGAACUUAGAGUAAUUGCUAAUGUGAUUUCAACUGUGGUUUAACACAACUUGUGUUACUACUGUCACUGUAAGUGGUAUUGAUAGUUUAUUUUGUAGGUUUUUUUUUU